UAGGGAAUCUUCGGCAAUGGGGGCAACCCUGACCGAGCAACGCCGCGUGAGUGAAGAAGGUUUUCGGAUCGUAAAGCUCUGUUGUAAGAGAAGAACGUGUGUGAGAGUGGAAAGUUCACACAGUGACGGUAACUUACCAGAAAGGGACGGCUAACUACGUGCCAGCAGCCGCGGUAAUACGUAGGUCCCGAGCGUUGUCCGGAUUUAUUGGGCGUAAAGCGAGCGCAGGCGGUUUAAUAAGUCUGAAGUUAAAGGCAGUGGCUUAACCAUUGUUCGCUUUGGAAACUGUUAAACUUGAGUGCAGAAGGGGAGAGUGGAAUUCCAUGUGUAGCGGUGAAAUGCGUAGAUAUAUGGAGGAACACAGGUGGCGAAAGCGGCUCUCUGGUCUGUAACUGACGCUGAGGAUCGAAAGCGUGGGGAGCAAACAGG
rnacentral:rRNA from 1 species